rnacentral:misc_RNA from 1 species
GAUGAAGAACGUAGCGAAAUGCGAUAAGUAAUGUGAAUUGCAGAAUUCAGUGAAUCAUCGAAUCUUUGAACGCACAUUGCGCCCGCCAGUAUUCUGGCGGGCAUGCCUGUUCGAGCGUCAUUACAACCCUCAGGCCCCCGGGCCUGGCGUUGGGGAUCGGCGGAGCCCCCCGUGGGCACACGCAGUCCCCCAAAUGCAGUGGCGGUCCCGCCGCAGCUUCCAUCGCGUAGUAGCUAACACCUCGCGACUGGAGAGCGGCGCGGCCACGCCGUAAAACACCCAACUCUUCUGAAGUUGACCUCGAAUCAGGUAGGAAUACCCGCUGAACUUAAGCAUAUCAAUAAGCGGAGGA